GAUGGACGCUAGCUACAGGCUUAACACAUGCAAGUCGAGGGGAAACGACAUCGAAAGCUUGCUUUUGAUGGGCGUCGACCGGCGCACGGGUGAGUAACGCGUAUCCAACCUGCCCAUCACUUGGGAAUAACCUUGCGAAAGUAAGACUAAUACCCAAUGACAUCCCACGAAGACAUCUGAAUGGGAUUAAAGAUUUAUCGGUGAUGGAUGGGGAUGCGUCUGAUUAGCUUGUUGGCGGGGUAACGGCCCACCAAGGCAACGAUCAGUAGGGGUUCUGAGAGGAAGGUCCCCCACAUUGGAACUGAGACACGGUCCAAACUCCUACGGGAGGCAGCAGUGAGGAAUAUUGGUCAAGGGGCGAGAGCCUGAACCAGCCAAGUAGCGUGCAGGAUGACGGCCCUAUGGGUGGUAAACUGCUUUUAUAAGGGAAUAAAGUGGGUCUCGGGAGACUUUUUGCAUGUACCUAAUGAAUAAGGACCGGCUAAUUCCGUG
rnacentral:rRNA from 1 species